rnacentral:rRNA from 1 species
GAUGAACGCUGGCGGCGUGCCUAAUACAUGCAAGUCGAGCGAACAGAUGAGGAGCUUGCUCCUCUGACGUUAGCGGCGGACGGGUGAGUAACACGUGGAUAACCUACCUAUAAGACUGGGAUAACUUCGGGAAACCGGAGCUAAUACCGGAUAAUAUAUUGAACCGCAUGGUUCAAUAGUGAAAGACGGUUUUGCUGUCACUUAUAGAUGGAUCCGCGCCGCAUUAGCUAGUUGGUAAGGUAACGGCUUACCAAGGCAACGAUGCGUAGCCGACCUGAGAGGGUGAUCGGCCACCCUGGAACUGAGACACGGUCCAGACUCCUACGGGAGGCAGCAGUAGGGAAUCUUCCGCAAUGGGCGAAAGCCUGACGGAGCAACGCGGCGUGAGUGAUGAAGGUCUUCGGAUCGUAAAACUCUGUUAUUAGGGAAGAACAAAUGUGUAAGUAACUAUGCACGUCUUGACGGUACCUAAUCAGAAAGCCACGGCUAACUACGUG